UGGGGAAUAUUGGACAAUGGGCGAUAGCCUGAUCCAGCCAUGCCGCGUGUGUGAAGAAGGUCUUCGGAUUGUAAAGCACUUUAAGUUGGGAGGAAGGGCAGUAAGCGAAUACCUUGCUGUUUUGACGUUACCGACAGAAUAAGCACCGGCUAACUCUGUGCCAGCAGCCGCGGUAAUACAGAGGGUGCGAGCGUUAAUCGGAUUUACUGGGCGUAAAGCGUGCGUAGGCGGCUAAUUGAGUCGGAUGUGAAAUCCCCGAGCUUAACUUGGGAAUUGCAUUCGAUACUGGUUAGCUAGAGUGUGGGAGAGGAUGGUAGAAUUCCAGGUGUAGCGGUGAAAUGCGUAGAGAUCUGGAGGAAUACCGAUGGCGAAGGCAGCCAUCUGGCCUAACACUGACGCUGAGGUACGAAAGCAUGGGGAGCAAACAGG
rnacentral:rRNA from 1 species